ACGUAGGGGGCAAGCGUUGAUCGGAAUCACUGGGCUUACAGCGCGUGUAGGCGGGGCGGCAGGUCUUCUGUGAAAGCCCCCGGCUCAACUGGGCGAGGCCGUGUGAGACUGAAAAACUGGAGAGAGGUAGAGGCGAAUGGAAUUCCGGGUGGAGUGGUGAAAUGCGUAGAGAUCCGGAGGAACACCAGAGGCGAAGGCGACACCCUGGGCCGUACCUGACGCUAAGACGCGACAGCACGGGGAGCGAACGG
rnacentral:rRNA from 1 species